AGGAAGCUGAGGCCUGCUGGCCGCUCCCAGAGCAGCUGGGCGUGCUAGAAAGCGUGAGGUGUCAAAGGGAAACACUGCCGUGACAGAGACCAGGUGGCAUGUCUUUUAGUCAGCGGGAAAUUUCAGAUUUUCUGCCCAGGCGAUGUCCACGGCAGCUCGGUUGCCAUGCGUACGUCUGCGUUGUUUGUCUCCUCAUUCAGAACUGACACCUGAAGUUUGGUUUCUCUGUGAUGGGCAAGUGCCCUGGCCAGUCUCCAAAUGGCUGCUCUGUAAGGUAUCAGACACACAGAGAGAAAUGUGUUGGCAACCACAGCAUGGAAAUCAAGAAGGAGGAAGUGACACACUCUGCCUCUCAAGUGAGAACUAACGAAAAGACAUCUGUAUCAGCUGGGUCUUUAUCCCAGGUUGGCACAGGCUACACGAGCUGUGUAGCUGAAGAUGCCCUUAAGCUCCUGAUAUUCCUGCCUCUGCUUCCUGAACACUAGGAUUGCCCGCAUACCCAGUUUAUGAAGUACCGGGGAGCAAAUCCAAGACUUUGUGCAUGCACUCUGGGGUGUGAGGAGUGGAGGAAGCCCCGAGUGAGUGAUGUCCUGAGUGAAUUUGUGCUGCUGUUGACAUGGGUGCAACCAUGUCAGGGACCCGGGCCUCAAACCCAGCAAAGCUUCUCCCCUCUCCCCUGCCUGAGGCUCACAGGGAAGUGGGAAAGCUUCCUCUCGGGUCCACAUGUGGAUGCUGACAGUAUGAGCAGAAAAUGUUCACCACAGCGUCAUCCUCCCACUGGACAUUGACAGCCUGAACUCUGCUCCCCUACAGAGACCGCUCCUACUGAGAUCAGCCAAACCUGCCCCCUGAACCAGAUGUAUGCCAUAACCCUGCCUCCUUGUUCAGGUGGAUGUAAUAAACACAGUGAGCUUCUGGAGUUCUGAGAUGUCUCCAGCAGAGAUCUCAGUUCACCUGAAAGCCAGCUUUUCUGUGUG